GGUGGAGCGAUUUGUCUGGUUUAUUCCGAUAACGAACGAGACUCUGGCCUACUAAAUAGUGACAGGAUUAUUACUGUCCUGGAUACUUCUUAGAGGGACAAGUGGUUUUCAGCCACACGAAAUUGAGCAAUAACAGGUCUGUGAUGCCCUUAGAUGUCCGGGGCUGCACGCGCGCUACACUGAAGGAAUCAGCGUGCUAAAACCAUUGUCGAAAGGCAUUGGUAAACCCAUUAAAAUCCUACGUGAUUGGGAUCGGGAAUUGCAAUUAUUUCCCUUGAACGAGGAAUUCCCAGUAAGUGUGGGUCAUAAGCUCGCGUUGAUUACGUCCCUGCCCUUUGUA
rnacentral:rRNA from 1 species